GAUGAACGCUGGCGGCGUGCUUAACACAUGCAAGUCGAACGGAGUUUAUGUAGAAUGAGUCUUCGGACAAAUGAGAUAUAAACUUAGUGGCGGACGGGUGAGUAACGUGUGGGUAACCUACCCUAUACAGGAGGAUAACAGUAAGAAAUUAUUGCUAAAACUGCAUAAGAUUACGAGUUCGCAUGAACAAGUGAUAAAAACUUUAGUGGUAUAGGAUGGGCCCGCAUCUGAUUAGGUAGUUGGUGGAGUAAAGCCUACCAAGCCGACGAUCAGUAGCCGAUCUGAGAGGAUGACCGGCCACAUUGGGACUGAGACACGGCCCAAACUCCUACGGGAGGCAGCAGUGGGGAAUAUUGGACAAUGGGGGGAACCCUGAUCCAGCGACGCCGCGUGAGUGAAGAAGUAUUUCGGUAUGUAAGGCUCUAUCAGCAGGGAAGAAAAUGACGGUACCUGACUAAGAAGCCCCGGCUAACUACGUGCCAGCAGCCGCGGUAAUACGUAGGGGGCAAGCGUUAUCCGGAUUUACUGGGUGUAAAGGGAGCGUAGACGGCGAUGUAAGUCUGAAGUGAAAGCCCACGGCUCAACUGUGGGACUGCUUUGGAAACUAUGUAGCUAGAGUAUCGGAGGGGCAAGCGGAAUUCCUAGUGUAGCGGUGAAAUGCGUAGAUAUUAGGAGGAACACCGGAGGCGAAGGCGGCUUGCUGGACGAAGACUGACGUUGAGGCUCGAAGGCGUGGGGAGCAAACAGGAUUAGAUGCCCUGGUAGUCCACGCAGUAAACGAUGAAUACUAGAUGUCGGAGAGGUUACUUUUCGGUGUCGUCGCAAACGCAAUAAGUAUUCCACCUGGGGAGUACGUUCGCAAGAAUGAAACUCAAAGGAAUUGACGGGGACCCGCACAAGCGGUGGAGCAUGUGGUUUAAUUCGAAGCAACGCGAAGAACCUUACCAAGUCUUGACAUACCCUUGAAUAGUGAGUAAAGUUACUAGCCCUUCGGGGCAAGGGAUACAGGUGGUGCAUGGUUGUCGUCAGCUCGUGUCGUGAGAUGUUGGGUUAAGUCCCGCAACGAGCGCAACCCUUGUUCUUAGUAGCCAGCAGUAAGAUGGGAACUCUAAGAAGACUGCCAUGGAUAACAUGGAGGAAGGUGGGGAUGACGUCAAAUCAUCAUGCCCCUUAUGAUUUGGGCUACACACGUGCUACAAUGGCGUAAACAGAGGGAGGCGAAGGAGAGAUCCGGAGCAAAUCCCAAAAAUAACGUCUCAGUUCGGAUUGUAGGCUGCAACUCGCCUACAUGAAGCUGGAAUCGCUAGUAAUCGCAAAUCAGAAUGUUGCGGUGAAUACGUUCCCGGGUCU
rnacentral:rRNA from 1 species